rnacentral:rRNA from 1 species
UCGAUUUGGAGUUUGUUGCCUUGAGUGAUGGGCUCCGAAGCUAACGCGAUAAAUCGACCGCCUGGGGGGUACGGCCGCAAGGUUAAAACUCAAAUGAAUUGACGGGGGCCCGCACAAGCGGUGGAGCAUGUGGUUUAAUUCGAUGCAACGCGAAGAACCUUACCUGGUCUUGACAUCCACAGAAUCUAGCAGAGAUGCGAGAGUGCCUUCGGGAACUGUGAGACAGGUGCUGCAUGGCUGUCGUCAGCUCGUGUUGUGAAAUGUUGGGUUAAGUCCCGCAACGAGCGCAACCCUUAUCCUUUGUUGCCAGCGGUUUGGCCGGGAACUCAAAGGAGACUGCCGUUGAUAAAGCGGAGGAAGGUGGGGACGACGUCAAGUCAUCAUGGCCCUUACGACCAGGGCUACACACGUGCUACAAUGGCGUAUACAAAGGGAGGCGACCUCGCGAGAGCAAGCGGACCUCACAAAGUACGUCUAAGUCCGGAUUGGAGUCUGCAACUCGACUCCAUGAAGUCGGAAUCGCUAGUAAUCGUGAAUCAGAAUGUCACGGUGAAUACGUUCCCGGGCCU